UUACAGGGUACAGUGUUUAAUAGUCACAUGUACUGGGUUACAGGUGCUAUUACAGGGUACAGUGUUUAAUAGUCACAUGUACAGGGUUGCAGGUGUUAUUACAGGGUACAGUGUUUAAUAGUCACAUGUACAGGGUUGCAGGUGUUAUUACAGUGUUUAAUAGUCACAUGUACAGGGUUACAGGUGUUAUUACAGGGUACAGUGUUUAAUAGUCACAUGUACUGGGUUGCAGGUGUUAUUACAGGGUACAGUGUUUAAUAGUCACAUGUACAGGGUUACAGGUGUUAUUACAGUGUUUAAUAGUCACAUGUACAGGGUUGCAGGUGUUAUUACAG
ensembl:lncRNA